AGGUUGAAGCAAUGAGCGAAUCACGAUGGAAUUAAUAAGAUUUAUGAAAUGAUAUGGGUCACACUACGACUUUUGAGACUCGCAGUACAAUUCUCAUUGAUUGGGCUUAGGACUUAGGCCUCAGGAUAUGGACCUAUUUAAGGGCAUUAAAUGUAGCGCUUCAUCAUUUGCAGCCUCCAUCACCUCCUUGAGCACCUUUAACGAAAGGCUAGCCUCUCUUGAAGUAUUAAAGCUCGUUCUCUCUCACCGAAUAUCAUUAUGGGUGUUCUUUUAAUGCAUUAGAGUGAAGAAAGGAAAGAAGAUUGCUCUUGGAAGCAUUUUUAACCUUCAUAUCAUCUUUGGACCUUUGAGAUCCAGAUCUAAAAGGGUUAUUGCUUGGCUGGAAGGCUUAAGGACUCUAACAAGAAAAGUUGUUAAGCUAGAUUUCGCAGCGCAAGGAGCUUAUGGUCACGGCAUGACAUCUGAGUAUUUUUCGGUUAUUUUUUUCGUCUUGUGUUUACGGUGCAAUAGUCGUUAUGUAGCACCUGGUUCUUGGUACGUAUUCUUUUGUUAUAUACUUUGCAUUUUGGCCUUGGACUCGGUGAGUUGAAGGUCCAACUCGCCGAGUAGAAGCGGGAAGGGACGCAGGACUUGAGCGAUCAACUCGGCGAUUCGGGUCCCGGACACGGCGAGUAGACCCUGUUUGGACAAAAACCCUAACCUGGGUGUUUGCACCUUAUUUAAACGCUUUAACUUGGCCUCCUUUGUCCCUAACACUUCCAGAGAGCUGUAGAGCGAAACCCUAGCCCCCAUAUUGUUCUUGUGAGUGAUAUUGGCCUCAUGAAGGAAGUUUGGAGCUUAGUAGAAGAAGGAGGAGGUUGAAGAGUGCAAGAAGGGGAAGUAGAUCGGAAAUCUACACUGUGGGAAGCUUCCAUUCAGGUACCUCUUCAGCUAGGGGAAGGAACUGGCGCGGUAGCGGCAUAUCACACACACACACAAUCUUGUUUUCCGUAUUAUGGAUUUUUCUAGGAUGUACUCUGACAUAUUAUUAUGAUGUGGCUGCUUUUCAUACAUGAAGCUUUAUUAUGAAACUUUUAUAUCGAAGUUUUUAUGAAUUGACCUAUUUAAAUAAAUGAA